GUAUAUAGCCAUGCCACCCUGAAUGCGCCCGAUCUUGUCUGAUCUCAGAAGCUCAGCAGGGUCGGGCCUGGUUAGUACUUGAAUGGGAGAUCAUCUAGGAAUACCAGGUGCUGUAGAUG
rnacentral:rRNA from 1 species